GUGCUAGCUUUAGCAGCAUAUAUACUAAAAUUUGAACGAUACAGAGAAGGUUAACAUAGCAUGGCAAAAGAGGUGACCUGCCAGUUGAAGAAGUGUUACCUAUUCCA